ACAAGUGUAGCUCAGUCGAUGUAGCAUGAGACUCUUAAUCUCAGGGUCGUGGGUUUGAGCCCCACGUUGGG
rnacentral:tRNA from 1 species